rnacentral:sRNA from 1 species
AAGGAGCUCUCCAUGGUGCGGAUCCCGAGCCGCGCCGCCGCGCGCUUCCUGGCCCGGAAGCUCAACCGCAGCGAGGCCUACAUCGCGGAGAACGUGCUGGCCCUGGACAUCUUCUUUGAGGCCGUCAACUAUGAGACCGUGGAGCAGAAGAAGGCCUAUGAGAUGUCAGAGCUGCUUGGUGACAUUGGGGGCCAGAUGGGGCUGUUCAUCGGGGCCAGCCUGCUCACCAUCCUCGAGAUCCUAGACUACCUCUGUGAGGUGUUCCGAGACAAGGUCCUGGGAUAUUUCUGGAACCGACAGCACUCCCAAAGGCACUCCAGCACCAAUCUGGUAACAGCCCCUCUUCUGGAGCCCUUGCCUGCUCCAAGGGUGCUAGGCCCCACCCCUGAAGCCUAGACCACCAUCCCGCCCCAGCUGAGAAGAAACAGGCAGGAGGGUGUGCAGUGACCUCGACUGGUCCCUGGGAGGAGGACCACUCCCCACCUCUGACCCUCUCGUCCUCACACAGCUUCAGGAAGGGCUGGGCAGCCAUCGAACCCAAGUUCCUCACCUCAGCCUGGGCCCCAGGUAACACAUAAUGGCCCCCUAAAAUCAAGGGAGGGCAGGGGCAGGCUCAGGACAGUGGGUGUGCCCGUUCCCACCCCAGCACUCUGCUCUGUUCCGAAGACCUCCCACCCCUCCCUGUGCCGUCACCAAGACUCUCUCCGCCUCCCACCGCACCUGCUACCUUGUCACACAGCUCUAGACCUGCUGUCUGUGUCCUCGGAGCCCCGCCCUGACAUCCUGGACAUGCCUAGCCUGCAUGUAGCUUUUCCGUCUUCACCC